UUCAGGGGUAAACCUGAGAAGCCCGAAAGGUCGAAAGGGGAAAUUCAUUCGCGUUUCGGCCGUCGGCGUCGGAUGGUCGAGUGACGGACGGCGUACGCGUCGUCCGCGCCUUCCGUUCUUCGAACCGGCGUCGAACGCGUGCACUUUUCCCCUAGUAGGACGUCGCGAUCCGUUGGGUGUCGGUCUACGGCUCGCGGUGGAGCCCGUGCGGUCGCUUUACGGCGUAUCGCUCGGACCCGCGGUGUCCCGGCCGACUCGCUCGACGGUAUACAGAUGGCGCGGGGCCGCUACACACAUUCAGUUAGCGUUCGGCCCGUAGCAAGCGCGUUCGGUGUUCGACGGCGAUCGGACCUAGUGCCGGUCCUGUCCCCGAACGACUGUUGGCUGCGGUGCUCUCGAACAGACCUCGUUCGAAACGCCGAUCUGCGACGCUAUAGCUUUGGGUACUUUCAGGACCCACGGACCAAGGAGUCUAGCAUGUGCGCGAGUCAAUGGGACAUAACUAAACCUAAAGGCGUAAUGAAAGUGCAGGUCCGCCUUGCGCGGAUCGAGGGAGGAUGGGCGGUUCGCCCUUAAAGUGGCCGCUCCGCACUCCCGGGGCGUCUCGUUCUCAUCGCGAGAAGAGGCGCACCAAGAGC
rnacentral:rRNA from 1 species